CCCUUAGAUGUUCUGGGCCGCACGCGUGCUACACUGAGUGGAUCAGCGGGUCAGGUUGCGCGAAAGCGGUUCCUAAUCUUUAAAUCCGCUCGUGAUGGGGAUUGACGGUUGCAAUUUUCUGUCAUGAACGAGGAAUACCUUGUAAGCGCGGGUCAUCAUCCCGCGCUGAAUACGUCCCUGCCCUUUGUACACACCGCCCGUCGCUCCUACCGAUUGAGUGGUCCGGUGAGGCUUUGGGAUCUGAGCGGAAAGAGCGUUUCGCUGUUUCUGCUCGGAAAACUCAGUCGAACCUUAUCAUUUAGAGGAAGGAGAAGUCGUAACA
rnacentral:rRNA from 1 species